GGCGGCAUAGCUCAGCUGGCUAGAGUACUCGGUUCAUACCCGAUUGGUCGCCGGUUCGAAUCCGGCUGCCGCUACCA
rnacentral:tRNA from 1 species